CCUACGGGUGGCAGCAGUGGGGAAUAUUGCGCAAUGGGCGAAAGCCUGACGCAGCGACGCCGCGUGAGGGAUGAAGGUCUUCGGAUCGUAAACCUCUGUCAGCAGGGAAGAACGGUCACUGUGCUAAUCAGCAGUGAAUUGACGGUACCUGCAAAGGAAGCACCGGCUAACUCCGUGCCAGCAGCCGCGGUAAUACGGAGGGUGCGAGCGUUAAUCGGAAUUACUGGGCGUAAAGCGCUCGUAGGCGGUAUGUCAAGUCAAGGGUGAAAUCCCCGCGCUCAACGUGGGAACUGCCUUUGAAACUGGCAAACUGGAGGGUGAGAGAGGAUAGUGGAAUUGCAGGUGUAGGAGUGAAAGCCGUAGAUAUCUGGAGGAAAAUCAGUGGCGAAGGCGACUAUCUGGCACAUAACUGACGCUGAGGAGCGAAAGCGUGGGUAGCAAACAGGAUUAGAUACCCCGGUAGU
rnacentral:rRNA from 1 species